rnacentral:rRNA from 1 species
GGCCGCGGGAAUUCGAUUCAGGCCUAACACAUGCAAGUCGAACGGCAGCACGGAGCUUGCUCUGGUGGCGAGUGGCGAACGGGUGAGUAAUAUAUCGGAACGUACCCUGGAGUGGGGGAUAACGUAGCGAAAGUUACGCUAAUACCGCAUACGAUCUAAGGAUGAAAGUGGGGGAUCGCAAGACCUCAUGCUCGUGGAGCGGCCGAUAUCUGAUUAGCUAGUUGGUAGGGUAAAAGCCUACCAAGGCAUCGAUCAGUAGCUGGUCUGAGAGGACGACCAGCCACACUGGAACUGAGACACGGUCCAGACUCCUACGGGAGGCAGCAGUGGGGAAUUUUGGACAAUGGGCGAAAGCCUGAUCC